AGGCAUGAAGCAAAUCAUUGCAUUUAAUUUCGGCUUAAAAGUUAGGUUUAUUAAAACCCCUGCCUU
rnacentral:tRNA from 1 species